UACGGGGGGGGGCAAGCGUUGUUCGGAAUUACUGGGCGUAAAGGGCUCGUAGGCGGCCAACUAAGUCAGACGUGAAAUCCCUCGGCUUAACCGGGGAACUGCGUCUGAUACUGGAUGGCUUGAGUUUGGGAGAGGGAUGCGGAAUUCCAGGUGUAGCGGUGAAAUGCGUAGAUAUACGGAGGAACACCAGCGGCGAAGGCGGGUAGCUGGGCCAACACUGACGCUGAUGCGCGAAAGCUAGGGUAGCAAACGGG
rnacentral:rRNA from 1 species